CAACACAGUCAUACCACCUUGAAAAUGUCCAAUUCUGACUUAUGUUCAAGCUAAGCAGGGUUGGGCCAAGUUUGUACUUCGAUGGGAGACUGCUAAGAAUACAGGGUAGUGGGGCGU
rnacentral:rRNA from 1 species